rnacentral:sRNA from 1 species
UUCAGAAAGUGGUGGAGGGAAGACUUCCUUUUUCCCAGAGACAGAAGGUUAUGCACCCAGUGGCCUGGGACCAUUGUUCUGGGCUUUUUUUCCCUUCGACAUGGAUUUGCUUCUCACUGUGUACCCCAACCACCAAAACCACCCUGAGAUCAAUGCUGGUGCUCCUGCAUCAGAUGGCUUAGAGAUCCUUCCACCUCUUAACACAAGCAUCUAGGUCCACUUUACUCAAAUCUGGCCUCAGUUGAGAGCAGAGUAUACCAUCAGAGCCCAUUCUCCUGUCUGCUGUCUGGGACGUGGAAAGAAAGUUAGCUCUAGGGGGUCUUUCCAGGGGCCUCUGUAAGGAGUGGGUGCUCCUUUCUGGAAUCCAAGAGUUCACCAGGCUGCUUCUCUAAUGGACGAUGAUCCUCUUCCUCCUGACGUCUCUCCCUGGCAGCACCCAGAUGCAGACAGCCUGUAUGUAGAGAAGAUUGACGUGGGGGAAGCUGAACCACGGACUGUGGUGAGCGGCCUGGUACAGUUCGUGCCCAAGGAGGAACUGCAGGACAGGCUGGUAGUGGUGCUGUGCAACCUGAAACCCCAGAAGAUGAGAGGAGUCGAGUCCCAAGGCAUGCUUCUGUGUGCUUCUAUGUGAGUGAGGACUUGGAGUGGGGCACAGGACCUGGGGAGGCCAGGAAGAGUAGGGAAUCAGCCCAUAUGAUGUCCUUCCACACACCAGGUGGAAGCUCUGAGAACACGUGCCUCUUCCUUGCUGAUGCCAGAAGUUGAUGCAUGAAGGACUUAUUGUACAAGUACUGUGAAUGAAGCAUUUUACCUACAGUUAAUUUUUGUUAAAAUAGAAAUGGAGGGCUCAAACCAGUACAUGCCCAAGUCUUACUACUAGUAAGGAGUGGAGCAGGAAUUCAAAUCCCAGUUUUGAUGUCUAUAAAGUCCUCGCUAUGUUAUUUUAUACUUCCUCCCCUAGAAACACAGAUUUUGGUAUCUCUCUUGACACACAAUUUUGGUAUAGCCUGGGUUAAUGUAACCCUGGUGAUAUGCAGGGAUGUAGCAAGAUAAGAGGACCUCCUGGGGCUCUGGUACUGAGGAUGCCCUAAAUCCCAUCAGGGCCCCUGUGUAAAGGCCCGGAUUGCUUUGGCCUCCAAAGUCACUGGAACCCAUCCAUAGCCUCACUCUUCCCUUGUCCUGUGUCUUCCCAGAGAAGGGAUAAACCGCCAGGUUGAACCUCUGGACCCUCCAGCAGGCUCUGCUCCUGGUGAGCACGUGUUUGUGAAGGGCUAUGAAAAGGGCCAACCAGAUGAGGAGCUCAAGCCCAAGAAGAAAGUCUUCGAGAAGUUGCAGGCUGACUUCAAAAUUUCUGAGGAGUGCAUCGCACAGUGGAAGCAAACCAACUUCAUGACCAAGCUGGGCUCCAUUUCCUGUAAAUCGCUGAAAGGGGGGAACAUUAGCUAGCCAGCCCAGCAUCUUCCCCCCUUCUUCCACCACUGAGUCAUCUGCUGUCUCUUCAGUCUGCUCCAUCCAUCACCCAUUUACCCAUCUCUCAGGACACAGAAGCAGCGGGUUUGGACUCUUUAUUCAGUGCAGAACUCGGCAAGGGGCAGCUUAUCCUCCCCAGAACCCAGGAUCAUCCUGUUUGGCUGCAGUGAGAGACCAACCCCUAACAAGGGCUGGGCCACAGCAGGGAGUCCAGCCCUACCUUCUUCCCUUGGCAGCUGGAGAAAUCUGGUUUCAAUAUAACUCAUUUAAAAAUUUAUGCCACAGUCCUUAUAAUUGGAAAAAUACUGGUGCCCAGGUUUUCUUGGAGUUAUCCAAGCAGCUGCGCCUCUAGCUGGGAUCUGUUACCUGGACUAGGCUAAUUACAGCUUCUCCCCAACAGGAAACUGUGGGAUUUGAAAAGGAAAGGGAAGGGAAAACAGAGAACCUAGUGGUCUACCAAGUGGUUGGCAACUUUCCCAAUGUCUGCUUACUCUGAGGCUUGGCACUGGGGGCCAGGGCCUUCCCCAGGGCUCCUGGAAUUUCCCUUGAUCCAGCUAGGCUGGGACACUCCCUAAACCAGCUGCGUGUUGUUAGCAUCAGGCAGAAUGAAUGGCAGAGAGUGAUUCUGUCUUCAUAGAGGGUGGGGUACUUCUCCAUAAGGCAUCUCAGUCAAAUCCCCAUCACUGUCAUAAAUUCAAAUAAAAUGUCUGAAC